rnacentral:rRNA from 1 species
CCUACGGGAGGCAGCAGUAAGGAAUAUUGGUCAAUGGGCGGAAGCCUGAACCAGCCAUGCCGCGUGCAGGAAGACGGCCUAUGGGUUGUAAACUGCUUUUGCAGGGGAAUAUGUACUCUGAGAAUAAGGAUCGGCUAACUCCGUGCCAGCAGCCGCGGUAAUACGGAGGAUCCAAGCGUUAUCCGGAUUUAUUGGGUUUAAAGGGUGCGUAGGUGGCUUUUUAAGUCAGGGGUGAAAGACGGUAGCUUAACUAUCGCAGUGCCUUUGAUACUGAAGAGCUUGAAUAAACUAGAGGUAGGCGGAAUGUGACAAGUAGCGGUGAAAUGCAUAGAUAUGUCACAGAACACCAAUUGCGAAGGCAGCUUACUAUGUUUAUUGACACUGAGGCACGAAAGCGUGGGGAUCAAACAGGAUUAGAUACCCUUGUAGUC